rnacentral:rRNA from 1 species
AGUAACGCGUGGGUAACCUGCCUCAUACAGGGGGAUAACAGUUGGAAACGGCUGCUAAUACCGCAUAAGCGCACAGUACCGCAUGGUACCGUGUGAAAAACUCCGGUGGUAUGAGAUGGACCCGCGUCUGAUUAGGUAGUUGGUGGGGUAACGGCCUACCAAGCCGACGAUCAGUAGCCGACCUGAGAGGGUGACCGGCCACAUUGGGACUGAGACACGGCCCAAACUCCUACGGAGGCAGCAUG